UACGGGGGGGGCAAGCGUUGUUCGGAAUUACUGGGCGUAAAGCGUGCGCAGGCGGUUUGUUAAGACAGGCGUGAAAUCCCCGGGCUCAACCUGGGAACUGCGCUUGUGACUGGCAGGCUAGAGUACGGCAGAGGGGGGUGGAAUUCCACGUGUAGCAGUGAAAUGCGUAGAGAUGUGGAGGAACACCAAUGGCGAAGGCAGCCCCCUGGGUCGAUACUGACGCUGAGGUGCGAAAGCGUGGGGAGCAAACAGG
rnacentral:rRNA from 1 species